rnacentral:rRNA from 1 species
UAGGGAAUCUUCGGCAAUGGGGGCAACCCUGACCGAGCAACGCCGCGUGAGUGAAGAAGGUUUUCGGAUCGUAAAGCUCUGUUGUUAGAGAAGAACACGAGUGAGAGUAACUGUUCAUUCGAUGACGGUAUCUAACCAGCAAGUCACGGCUAACUACGUGCCAG